CAACCACGGGGUGGCUAUAGUUGAGAUCACACUUUCCCUGAGUGGAGAGCUACAGCAGCCUUCCUGGCUUGCUCCUUAAGCUCUCUCCCCAAGACACUGGCCAUGCAAAGUGGGUGUUUUCAGGGUAUGAAAAACUCCUCCAAGAAUGCUUCUAAAAGGACACGGUUUCUUAAUCUGGAAAGGAAACUGCUGAAUCUCAAAUUGCACUUUGUCAAACAAUGACAGUCUUCGUUGCCAACAUCUAGGACACUCCCUUCUUUAAUUUAUUCUACCUGAUCAAGCACAGCAUUUUCUACAGCCCUGUGUCUUUAAAAGAAUGUUGAAACUGCAAACACAAAAAAAGGAAUGUUUAGAAUGAAAUGAACUAUAAGCUAAUGGGUAAGGGAUUGAAUGAGGCCAAAAUAGGAACUCAUCUAAAGCAAACUUUCAAAAAGAAAUCUAUGUUAAGAGAGUGAAAAACAA